CUGCGGUCUUUGUUUUACAGCAAGUAUAUGUUGUGCGUGUUUUUCUUGCAGUUCAAAUUUGGCAAGGGAGAGGACUUGACUCUUCAGAAUGGAAGAUGGAACAUUAGCUGGUCUCUCUAAAGAUUGAAUUAUAUCUUAAAUUACAUUAUUUCCUUUUGUCAGUGGUUGCAUUUGAGCUUGUUUAUGUUUCUACUUGGUGCAGCUUGGUGAUUUGAAUUCGGUGUUGGCCUUUGAGAACUCAUGUUGUGUCUAAAGUUCCCACUAUUAUUUUUUUGUCCUUUUGCUUGGAUGGUGUCCAUCUAGAGAUUGAAUUUAUUCCAUAAAAGCCUAAUUAUGUUCAAGGUUUGUUGUUGUUGUUUUUUUUAUUUUUGGGUUAGAUUUGUUAUCAUUCCUGCUUUUAGAUUAAAAUCAAGGUUUUGUAGACAGUUUACUUAAUGCAUUUGGUAGAUCAAUGAUCUUGUUUAGGCAUGGCCUGAGAUUGUUUAUAAAUCUCAUAUUCGAGGUUUUAAUAUUCUGUGUGGUGUUUUUACCAUUUCGUUUAAUGUUUUUUUUGAUUUUAGGGGUGAGAAGCUAGUUUUGAUUGUUUUCCUAGAUUUGUUUUGUAGGAGAAAUUUAAUUGCUGUCAAUUGUAAACAGUUUACUUAAUGUAUUUGGCUGAGUACUACUAAAAUCAGUGCCCAAGUUAAUUUCACCAUGUUUUCGUCAAAGUAUAAUAUCUUCCUGUGUAUAUCUUUGUUUAUGCAUUUUAUUUUGCAGAUUGCUUCAGAAGGCCUUAAGCACAGAGUGUUUGAGGUAUGUCUUGCUGAUCUACAGAACGAUGAGGAUCAGUCCUACAGAAAGAUGCGAUUGAGAGUGGAAAGAAUGUUUUGACUAACUUUUGGGCAACCAUUAUGAACUUAUAUUACAUAAAAGAAUUCAAAUCAGAAGAACAAAAGAGUAAACAUAUAUUACAUAAGAAAGUUUAAAUUAGAAGAAAGUAAUGUGAAGAAUUGCAAUUCUUGCUUGUUUUCAGGGAAUGGAUUUCACCACAAACAAAUUAAGGUCUCUUGUCCGUAAGUGGCAGACAUUUGUUGAGGCUCAUGUUAAUGUGAAGAUAACAGACAACUUCACUCUGAGAAUGUUCUGUAUUGGCUUCCCUCAGAGGUGUAAAAAUCAAGUCAAAAAGACCACAUAUGCACAAUCAAGCCAAAUCUUCCAGGUAAGGGUUUCUUUUCCCUGAAGAUAAGCUCGUUACUUGGGGAUCUUGGCUGCCAGGUGAAUGUUUUUAGACUUUUACGGAGAUGAGGAAAUGUUGCUGCCUGGAGAUGGAAGAUGGAUUUUUUUGAUCGAUUGAUUUCCGUAAUAAUAGCUUUUCCGCUCAAAUGUACAAAUUGCAACCCGCUUGUGUUCAAAAACGGGAAAGAAAUUGAUUGAUGAUGAUUUAAGCUAGUGUUCAAAGAGGGGUACGUAUAAGCUCAGGCAAGCCUAUCCAAGACAUGGAUUCUGAAUGCAAGGAAUACCAUGAAUGGCGGUCCCAUCGACUGAUGCGGAGAUCAGGAACAGUCCAUGAAUGGAAAAUGUUGGUGCAUAUGGAUGGGUGACUGAUAUAGGUGCUCGUUUUUUCGAAUGUAAUGGGA